UCCUUGGUGGCUCAGAGGGUAAAGCAUCUGCCGGCAAUGCAGGAGACCUGGGUUCGAUCCCUGGAUCAGGAA
rnacentral:tRNA from 1 species